AGACGCGUCCGACUGCUUCAUUGUGGGAGCCUCAGGAGCGGAGGAUCGGGUCCCGCCCGAGGUGACGCGUAAACCCGGACUCUCAGCAACGCGGGUAAGAAGGACCCUUGAAGUUCCGCGGCGACCACGGAACUGUGCCUUCCAUCGUCCACAGUCGGCUGAAACCAGUAGCCCAGGACAAGUGGACCAGCCAGCAAGACCCAGACCAUCCAAACUGGCUGAUCCUACGACAGGACCCAGGUGCCAGUGAAAGUGACCACAGCCCUGCUCUGGUCACUCCGGAAGCUGACCAGUCCACGCACAGCCGAAGCUUCAUCAAGGAAGUAAAUGUAGUUAGAAAUCUUAA